GAUGAACGCUAGCUACAGGCUUAACACAUGCAAGUCGAGGGGCAGCAUGACCUAGCAAUAGGUUGAUGGCGACCGGCGCACGGGUGAGUAACACGUAUCCAACCUGCCGAUUAUUCCGGGAUAGCCUUUCGAAAGAAAGAUUAAUACUGGAUAGCAUAACGAGAAGGCAUCUUCUUGUUAUUAAAGAAUUUCGAUAAUCGAUGGGGAUGCGUUCCAUUAGUUUGUUGGCGGGGUAACGGCCCACCAAGACAUCGAUGGAUAGGGGUUCUGAGAGGAAGGUCCCCCACAUUGGAACUGAGACACGGUCCAAACUCCUACGGGAGGCAGCAGUGAGGAAUAUUGGUCAAUGGACGAGAGUCUGAACCAGCCAAGCAGCGUGAAGGAUGACUGCCCUAUGGGUUGUAAACUUCUUUUAUAUGGGAAUAAAGUGGGCCACGUGUGGCUUUUUGUAUGUACCAUACGAAUAAGGAUCGGCUAACUCCGU
rnacentral:rRNA from 1 species